rnacentral:rRNA from 1 species
AGAGUUUGAUCAUGGCUCAGAACGAACGCUGGCGGCAGGCUUAACACAUGCAAGUCGAGCGCCCGCAAGGGGAGCGGCAGACGGGUGAGUAACGCGUGGGAAUCUACCCAUCUCUACGGAACAACUCCGGGAAACUGGAGCUAAUACCGUAUACGUCCUUCGGGAGAAAGAUUUAUCGGAGAUGGAUGAGCCCGCGUUGGAUUAGCUAGUUGGUGGGGUAAUGGCCUACCAAGGCGACGAUCCAUAGCUGGUCUGAGAGGAUGAUCAGCCACACUGGGACUGAGACACGGCCCAGACUCCUACGGGAGGCAGCAGUGGGGAAUAUUGGACAAUGGGCGCAAGCCUGAUCCAGCCAUGCCGCGUGAGUGAUGAAGGCCCUAGGGUUGUAAAGCUCUUUCAACGGUGAAGACAAUGACGGUAACCGUAGAAGAAGCCCCGGCUAACUUCGUG